rnacentral:rRNA from 1 species
UAAGGGCGCACGGUGGAUGCCUUGGCACUAGAAGCCGAUGAAGGACGUUACUAACGACGAUAUGCUUUGGGGAGCUGUAAGUAAGCUUUGAUCCAGAGAUUUCCGAAUGGGGAAACCCAGCAUGAGUUAUGUCAUGUUAUCGAUAUGUGAAUACAUAGCAUAUCAGAAGGCACACCCGGAGAACUGAAACAUCUUAGUACCCGGAGG